rnacentral:tRNA from 1 species
GCCUUCGUGGUGUAGUGGUCAGCACGCUCGACGCGUAACCCAGAGGUCCGUGGUUCAAUUCCCGGCGAAGGCG